rnacentral:rRNA from 1 species
CCUACGGGUGGCAGCAGUGAGGAAUAUUGGUCAAUGGGCGCGAGCCUGAACCAGCCAAGUCGCGUGAGGGAAGACGGCCCUACGGGUUGUAAACCUCUUUUGCCGGGGAGCAACGGGCGCCACGUGUGGCGCCACUGAGAGUACCCGGAGAAAAAGCAUCGGCUAACGCCGGGCCAGCAGCCGCGGUAAUACGGAGGAUGCGAGAGUUAUCCGGAUUUAUUGGGUUUAAGGGGUGCGUAGGCGGAGCGUUAAGUCAGUGGUCAAAUUGAGGGGAGCAAACACUUCCCGCCAGUGAAACUGGCGCUCUUGAGUGGAAGAGAAGUAUGCGGAAUGCGUGGUGUAGCGGUGAAAUGCAUAGAUAUCACGCAGAACCCCGAUUGCGAAGGCAGCAUGCCGGCUUCCUACUGACGCUGAAGCACGAAAGCGUGGGGAUCGAACAGGAUUAGAUACCCGGGUAGUC